UACUAUAAUAUAUUGUACUAGCUGUGCCCGGCCACGCGUUGCUGUGGCGAAGUCUGGUGGUCUGGGAAAUAAAGUAUUGAGGAAUUGGUGGUAGUUAAGGGAAAGGUAAAGGUUUUCCCCAGACAUUAAGUCCAGUCGUGUGUGACUCUGGGGGUUGGUGCUCAUCUGCAUUUUGAAGGCGAAGAGCCGGCGUUGUCUGUAGCCUCCUCCAAAGUCAUGUGGUCAGCAUGACUGCAUGGAGCGUCGUUACCUUCCCGCCGCAGAGGCACCUAUUCAUCUACUCUCAUUUGUAUGUUUUCGAACUUCUGGGUUGGGAGAAGGUGGGGCUAAUAGUGGGGGCUGUGUUCGUCUGCGACCUUUGGGUGCAGAAGUUCAGCAGCUCAGCGCUUUAACACGCUGCGCCAUCAGGGGAGAUUAUUUUCUCAAGGUUGUGAAUAUACAAUAUUUCUGAUUGUUUUUUGUCUGUUAGAGGGAAGUAUGAAUGUUAGAAUUAGGGAAAAUGAUUAGCAUGUAAUGGGCUUGCAGCUUUAAAGCCUGGCUGUUUUCUAGCUGAGUGAAUUUUUUGUUGGGAGGUGUUAGCUGGCCCUAAUUGUUUCCUGUCUGUAAUUCCCUUGUUUUGAGAGUGGUGUUGUUUGCGAUAUUUUAUGUGCUUCUAUUGUGUGUGGAUCUCAGAAAACAGAGGAUUUGCCAGACUUUGAUGAUGGGAAUACUUUGUUGGGAGGUGUUAGCUGGCCCUGAUUGUUUCCUGUGUGGAAUGGCCCUGUUUUCAGAUUGUUGUUCUUUAUGUAGUGUUUUGAUUUUAGAGAUUGUAUUGUUCUGUUUUAUUAUAGCAGAGUAAUUUUUAUAUAUUGGUUUUAUUGGUUUUGAAUAUUUGGAGCCAGAUUGUAUUCAUUUUUACGGUUCACAGCAACAUAAUAAUAAUAGUAAUAAUAAUAAUAAUAGUACUAAUAAUGAGUCUGGUAAUACACACUGCUUCACUGCAUUGUGAGCUUCCUUUCUGGAAGAAUCCUUUCUUGGGAGGUGUUAGCUGGCUGUGAUAGUUUGUUUUGUGGCAUUCCCAAUUUUCCUGAUUUCAGAGUGUUAUAAAAAUAAUAAGUUACUAUUAUUAGUGAUUAUUAUAUUGUUGAAUGAUUAUCAAUGUUAUAAUAAUUAUUAUUCCAUUUGUGAAUGAUUAUCACUGUAAUAAUAAUAAUAAUAAUAAUAAUAAUAAUAAUAAUAAUAAUUUACUCUUAUUUUGAAUUGUUAAUACAUUGUUGGAUGAUUAUCAGUGUUAUAAUUAUUAUUAUUAUGACAGCCUUGAAUGUUUAUUAUUAUUGUAAUAAUAAUAACUUGUUAUGAUUAGUUAUUAUUGCAUUGUUGAAUGAUUAUUACUGUUAUAAUAACAAUAAUAAAUUACUAUUAUUAUUGGUUAUUAUUACAUUCUUAAAUGAUGAGCAGUUAUUAUUAUAUUAAUAAUAAUUAUUACUGACAGGGAAGGGAAAGGUGAGGGCGAUAGGGCUUCAGAGGGAAAAAAGGGGGGCUGCUGAGGCAUUGGAGGGGGUUGUGAUUUGUGGGUGACAACAACAACAACAACAACAAUAACAACAGAAAAGGGGGGGGGCUGAGCCUGGGCCAACUUGGGCCUUCCCUCGAGUUGUUUUGGGUGCCAACUUCCACCCUUCCUGGUCUGAGGCUCUUUACCCCCCCCCCCCCCCUCAGCCGUUUAACUGGGUGAGGGAGAAAAGGAAGGGGCCUGAGGCUGGGAAGGGCGGGAGUUGGCGCCCAAAACAACUGGAGGGGAGGCCCAGGCCUGCUGGAGGGCCAUGCCCUCCUCUUCCCCCCUCACCUUGAAGUCCUCAAAGAACCGGGGAAGAAGUCCUUGAGGCGGACCAGGGUGUAGACGGUGCUGCGGAGGGAAGGCCGAGGCCGAGGCCGGGAAGAGGAGAGAGGAAAUCCCCAAACCAAGGCCUGUGGGCUGGAUGCGGCCCUCCAAGAUCAUUUACCUGGCUCCCACCCUAAACUUUAGACUUAGGGUCAACCUAAGUCUAAAACGAAGACAAACAACAACAAUCUUAAUUAAUUUGACUAUCUCAUCAGCCCACAAUUCUCACUGAAAUACUGAAUUAAAUCAUUCAUUAUGAGCUUCAUCUUGGAAAAGUCUCUCCGCUCCGCUUCACAUCCCAGAAGUCUGCUUAGUGAUAAGAAGACAUAAGCAAUAUAAGCUAAUUAUUCCUGGAACACAUCCCCUUCCAUCCGAAGCCAUUACAAAAGAAAAAAGGAGUACUUAAUUUCAUUGUAUUAUCUUCCAAACAGAGGUGGUUAGCAACUAUGUUAGCAAACAGGAAUUAUUAAUGUACCUUUGAAGCUCUGUGAUACCCUUUUAUAGUAUUUUUUAAGAAGGAUGCAUCUCUCUAUAGACUGCCUGAGCAUUUAAUUAGAUUUUGGAGGUCAAAAAACACCCAUCACGAUCUGCAGAUUUUACUGUUGCCUGAUCUCAUAUUUAAUAUUCAUACUUGAUAUUCUUAUUUGGUAUUCUGAAAAAGAGAACAACACAUUCAAAAGUAUUAUUCCAUGUAAUUCUGCACUGUACUGAUCCUUUUGUUUCUGAUUUCUUAUGUUUUUGUUGGGUGAAUUAUGUUUAAUUGGUAUGUAACACAUUAUUACAUUUAUAACAUUUUAAAAACAGAGACAGUUCACUUCCAUUCAAUACGAUAGUGCCAUUCUAAGAUGGCAGAAGGAGUGAUCUGCAGAUAUACUAUCAAUAUUACAUACUGUAAUUGUAACAAUAUACAAUUUUAGGUUUUAAAAAAGAGAUUAGCUGGCAUAUACUAACUAACAUUCAAAAUGGAAAUGGGUUGAAAAUGCCGUUGCUUAAGCUAAGGUCUGUGGAUGGAUGUGUCCCAGCCAGUUUAGCAGUUGUUAGGGUUUGUGGGAAUCAGAGCCAUUCUUAGGUAAUUUUUGAGAGUAGUCAAUCAGAAUUUCCCCCCCCCCCCCGAAUUUUGGUGCCCCCCCAAACCGGGGGGGGGGGAGGGUGAGCAGUGGGGAGGGGUCUGCAAAGCGCCGAGGAACGAGAAAGAAGGUGUUCCUCGGCACUUUGCAGACCAGAGAAGCGGGCACCGCUUCUCUGGUCCGCAAAGCUCCGAGAAACGUCUUCCUUCUCGCCAGGAAGCCAUUUCUCGGUGCUUUGCAGACCAGAGAAGUGGGUGCCGCUUCUCUGGUCUGCAAAGCGUGGAACGCCUUCCUGGCAGAGCCAGGAUUUGCCUGUGGUGCUCCCAACAAGAUGGCGCCACAGGCAAAUGCCUAGUUUGCCUGGUGGGUGAACCAUCCCUGCUGGGAAUUGAAGUCCAAAACAUCUGGAGACCCACAGGUUGAGAACCACUGUCCUAGAUGAACAUGCCAAACUGACUCGUAUCACAGAGAGACCUGGUUGGGUAAAGCUGGAGAUAUUCAUCACUCUCAACUGGGGUUCUCUGUGCAGUAGGAAAUGUGCCAUGCAGAGCGAAGAUGAGAUUACACCCACUUGAUCAGUUGCCCUAUCCCACAGGCUGCAGGGUCCAAGUGUGUAUAUUUGAAAAUGGCUGUCUGUCAUUGAUUAGGGAUUAUGUGGGUGUCUUCCCACUGCUCAAUAGUCUCCCUUCUUGAAUGAACAGGGGUCCACUCUGGCUCAAGAUUUCAUCUCUGGCAGAACAUAUUUGGGUCUACAAAGGAAUCCUGUAGCACCUUUGAGAUUACCUCUCCAUCCCUGCCUGUCCUCCAUGGAGCAUGUUUGAUAAGAGCCUCUCCUGUUUGAUACUACAGGACAGGAGAUUUUACCUGAACAUCAGGAAGAACUUCCUCACUGUGAUAGCUGUUUGGUAGUGGAACUCUCUGCCCCAGACAGUGGUGGAGGCUCCUUCUUUGGAGGCUUUUAAGCAGAGGCUGGAUGGCCAUCUGUCGGGGGUGCUUUGAAUGCUAUUUCCUGCUUCUUGGUAGGAGGUUGGGCUGAAUGGCCCAUGAGGUCUCUUCCGACUCUAUUAUUCUAUGAUUCUAUGCUCUUUCUUUUCUUACCUUUCUUCAAAAAGAUGAACCUGCAUUGAUUUAGUGCAAGUAUUUGCAAAUAAAACUGCUCUGAUAUACAUCUCAAAGGCCCAAUUUACACAGACCAUAUAAUGCCGCUCCAAGUCAAUUCAAAACUGUGCACUGUAACACAGAUUACGAAUAUACAGUGCAUUAAAAAAUCUCAAGAGACUCUGAGUUAAGCCUUUUAAUGCACUGCAGCAAAUUCCAAUAUAUCUCAGAUCCCAGUGCAAAAUCGACUCUACAGAAUGAGAUGUACUUUGCAGGCAUCUGCCUUUGCUGAACAAAAGAGUAAGGCGACUGCUGAAAAAUGCCCCAGCGGGCUAAUGGACCUCUGGGAGAGGUCACUGGCUGGUUAGCAGGGGGCUAAUGGACCUUUGGGAGAGGUCAUUGUUUACCUCCACUUCUGUCACUUUCCCUCCUACCCCCACCUAUUUCUCUGGUGCUCUGAUGCGCAUCUCUCCCAGAACUGGGGGGAAUCACCUUCCUUAUUUCAAAUCAGUUCCAGACCUAUCAAUCUGAUCAUCCACACAGUGAAAUCAGUUCCUCCCAAACAGGUUCCAAAUUGCAUAAUAGUGUCAACACUGGUGUGCCCAAAGAUGAUAAAGGGCACAUCAACACUGCAGAAUUAAUGCCGCUUGGCACCAUUUUAACUGCCAUAGCUCAGUGCGAUGGUGUAUUUAUUUAUUUAUUUAUUUAUUUAUUACAAUAUUUAUAUCCCGCCCUUCUCACCCAACAGGGGACUCAGGGCGGCUUACAAUAAAACAGACAUAUAAAAACAGUACAAUCUAUAUAUAUAAAAGAGUGAUGGCAUCAGGGCAGCGGACAAAACAACAAAACUACAGGCCCCCCAACCUCGAAAUUUGACAACAUAACCCAUCAUCCAUGGCUCUAGGUUGAUACAACAAAAAGAAAAGAAAAAUAAAGUCCUAAUUAGAGGGAGAGCAAUAAUUGUUUUUAUCCAAUUGCUGCCAGUUUGAAGGCUAAGCUCCGCCCACUUGGUCUCCUAGCAACCUACUCAGCCCAGGGGACAGGCACAGUUAGGCCUCACUUAGGCCUCUUCCACAGAUUAUCAGAUUUGAAGUGGCUUAUAUGGCAGUGUAGACUCAUGGCCCUUCCACACAGCUAUAUAACCCAUUUAGAGUCUUAUAUUAUCUGCUUUGAACUGGAUUAUCUUGACUCCACACUGCGAUAUAAUCCACUUCAGUGUGCAUACUAAACAUAAAGACAACCAUACAAUAGACAUUCAAUACCACCACUACCUCAACAAUUUCUCACCAACACCACCAGACAACGCCACAGCAACGCGUGACCGGGCACAGCUAGUACACUAUAAAUCAGUUAAAAAUUAACUUACAUAUAACAUUCAUAAAAUGCAUUUAUAAAAUAUAGAUAUUGGAUAAUAUGUAUGGGAGAUGUAGUUUUACAAGGUCUUUAGCCUUCCCUGCAAAAGGGAAAUUACAACUCCCAUGAUUCUAUAGUAUUGAGUCAUGGCAGUUGAAAUGAUGUCAAACUGCAUUCAUUCUACCAUGUAGAUGCACCCCAUGUUUGAUUGUUUUCUCUGCUAGAUUACAUGUAGGUCGGACUGGACUGGUGAGCUGUUCAAACUUCUGCCUAGGUCAUCAGCUGCUCUGCUUGAGAGAUCUACAAUUAUUUCUCCUAUUACCCAAUAAGUAAAAGGGAAGAGAAAAUGAGCUGUGUGAGCUGUAAAGUACAUGCGCAAGGGAGGGUUAUACUACAAAGGUGCAAGGUAAGGCAAGGAAAGGAGAAAUAGGGAAGAGUUAUGUAGAGGUGGUGUGUCCGAAAUAAGGGAGAUGGGCAGAUUGUGGAGAAUCAAAGUGAGGUGAGGGAUGGAGCAGUAAGGGAGAAUGAGCAACAUAAGCAGCAGGAUGCAACAAGGAAGGAAUGCCCUGCAAGGGCACAAAGUGAGGGAGCAGGAGGGAGGAGGAGAAAAAUGUGGAAGCAGCACCACAUCAGAAGCAAAGGGAGAGCAUUGAGACAGGGCAAGGUGAGGCAAAGGCGGGUGACCAGUAGGAUGUCAGAAGCCAAAGAGUGGGAUGCAUUGCAAGGGCAUGUGGUGAAGGAACUGGAGUGAGUGUGGUAACAUCAAUGGAGGCAUUGUCUGUGAGGUGAAAGGAGAAGGGAAUAGGGAAGAAAGAGAGUGAGCAAUAUGAGGAGCAGCGUGUAUGCAACAAUAAAGGGGAACACUGCGUGGGUGAGAUGAGGUGAUGGAGUGAGGUGGAAGCAAUAUAUGUGAGGAGUGUAAACUGUGGUACACAAAAAGAAAGGGACAUCUACUCCUGCCGUUAAAAUUGGCCCAGUCUCCCAAUCCCGAUGUCAACUCUGGUCCACUCUCCUUGAAAACCUCUUUGGCGGGCCUCCUAAAUUCAAUCUUCACAGACUGGGCAAGGAUAUAACACGUGAGGAUCACUGGCCUACCCGAAACAAACUUGGGGAGAAAAGGGUGUCCUCUUAUUUGGGUAACAUCUGACUUCUUGCAGUAGAUUUGGCAUGUUUAUUCCAGCAAUGAACUGAGGUAGAAAUAAUUAGCCAGCUUGUAUUUUCACCAUGCUAAGAAUCCAAAGCCCUCUGGGUACAGAGUAACAUAGAGUUUAUCUCUGCCUUUCUGGCGCACUUCACUUCAGCUCCAGUCAUUUUCGGUAUGACAAGUUGAUUGAAAUGUUGAUGCAGAGAAGAUGUCUUGUAUCUGGGCAACAUUUGGUGUAAAACUGGAGUUACAUCUUGAAUGUCAGUGAAGUCAGGGAAAAUAUGCAAUUGUUGACUUUCAACAGAAGGUAAUUGAGGCUGUUUCCUCAUAUAAUACUCCUAACCUAUCAAAUGUAGGAUCUUUGCUCAGUUUUCUAAAAUGCACCAAGGCUUAAACUUGCCUAGAAGUUGCAUACUCUACAAAGGAAAGUUUUACUUGACUCUUAAAUGUAAUUUGACUAAAAUAUAAGUUAAUUAAAACUUUGAAACAUAAGUAAAACAUAAGUAGGAUGAUAUCACAGAUUUCAAAAUCUUAUUGAUGUCCAUGUGAAUAACAAUUGAUACUUGUGUUUGCAAUGGAAGUGAUAUGAAGAGAGCUACUUCUAGCUAAAUCAAUGGCAUUAUCAGUGGUUUUCUUUUACUUGGAUAUACUCCAAAGCAAGAUGAUGAUGAUGAGCAAACUCUCUUCAGAUCAAGAUCUCAGGUUAUGUCUUUCCUGAUUUGUUGCUGUUGUCAUUGUUAUGUGCCUUAUGGCAACCUCAAAGCAACCCUAUUUUUGAGUGUUCAGAGAUUUGUUCAGAGACAGCCAGCUAUAGUCUCUCUCUGAGGUUGAGAGUGUGUGACCUGCAAAAAUCACCCAGUGGGUUCUGUGGCUGAGCAGGGAUUUCAGCCCCAGUCUCCAUAAUCUGGAACCAACACUCAAAGCAGCACAGUACAUCAUGCUGGAUCUCUUCUGUCUUCAUUAUCACUGCUGCUGUUAAGGGGCUUAGCAUCACAAAAGAUUCCUGAGCUGCAUCUGCUUCAGUUGAGGAAUACUCAUUCAGCAUGAAGGGCGUGCCAGCCAGAAGUGCUCAAAUAGGCAGCUCUGUCCAUCUAGCCAGGCAAGAUGAUGCCAGUUAGUCUGGGAUGAUGAGGGCCGGAUACUGAUGGAAUAUGACAAUGCUGGAGUUGGCGUUAAGUGAGAUGCUGAGUUGUCACUGUCCUUUGGUGCCCUUUCUCCUGUAUCCUCACCCCUUCCAAUGCUAGUGGAAAAUAAUUACAAACUCUUUGAGCCUCCAAGCUACACAUCACUGUCCUGACAAAGUGACUUCAUGUGACAUAUCCACCUCCUGAUGUUGCUUUAACCAGCGCUCUACUUCUGGCCUGCUGCAGGACUAAUAGGCAGUACGCACAAUUUCUGCAAAAGAUUAAGACUUCUGGGAUGAAGUCCUGUUUCUUUCUGGGUAUGGGCCGUAUGAAGGAAGAAAAAGCCCAAAGCUGUAAAUAGUUGUGUGGAACAUGACAAGAACACAACCCAAAACUCAGCUGCCUCAAAGGCCUAAUUUGCGCAUUUCUCACGUGCAAAGAAUCAUGAUCUGUACUAUAUGGCCUUUGAGCAUAGCAGGAUAGCUUUUUUAAGCAUACAAAGCAUACAUCUGAAAUUACCUGAAAGAAAUAAGUUGAUAGAUUAACUUUCAUACACUUAAGUCUGUUAAGUACUACACUUCAUGCAUCUGGGGAAACAUGUCUAAGGGGCCCAAAACGUGGGACCUGUCUUGCUUUUUACCAAAGCCUCAGGAAAAAGUGAAUUAAUGCAGAGUAAACAGGCUUUUCCCAGUUCACCCCACAUUAAUUAAACAUCUGUAAAUAUCCAGACCUUAAGCUAAGAUCUGGAUCUUUAGAGGUGAGGGCCCUGUGGGCACUGAUUCCUAGGACUGCUUCUGUAGUCCUGGGACGCCAGUCCCAACAGUCAUCCCACUUCUUCGAGCUCCCAAAAGCCCAGAGGAAAGGGAUAUGGGGGCCUGGGGAGGUGGAAGGCAUCAGAUAGAUUUUGGGGGAGAAAUGGGGGGCUGGAGGAGGGUUGGAUAGUAUCCCAGGUCAACCUUUGAUUGACCCGGGAUGCCACCUAACCACCCCUCAAGGGAAAGCCCAGGGUUUGGGUUGGGGGUGGGGACAGAAACUCAAGAGGAAGCAGGUCGUUUUAACCCACUUCCUCUCGGGUUUUAGCUUAGUGGACAAUGGUCCUGAGUCUCAGAAAAUUUAUGCUACCAAUUUCUUUUUCUCAAUUUCCAAGGUGCUACAAAUUCUUUUUGCAUACUGAUCUAGGCUAACACAGUCAUGUCUUCCAGAUCUACCAUGAUAGGAACAAUCCUUUUUAUUUAGAUUAUCAUUUCUGUGCAAAAACACAAUGUUUUCCAUAAAAGAAAUUUAAGUUGAGUUUUGUGCCCUGAGCACCUUAGAAUUUCAAAUCUUCAUAUUUGUAUUCUACAGUAGGGAUUUAUGUUCAUAGAAUCAUAGAAUGAUAGAGUUGGAAGAGACCGCAUGGGCCAUCCAGUCCUACCCCCUGCCAAGAAGCAGGAAAUCACAUUCUCAAAGCACCCCUGACAGAUGGCCAUCCAGCCACUGCUUAAAAGCCUCCAAAGAAGGAGCUUCCACCACAGUUCGGGGCAGAGAGUUCCAGUGCUGAACAGCUCUCACAAUCAAAAAGUUCUUCCUGAUGUUCAGGUGGAAUCUCCUUUCCUGUAGUUUGAAGCCAUUGUUCCACGUCCUAGUCUGCAGGGCAGCAGAAAACAAUCUUGCUCCCUCCUCCCUAUGACUUCCCCUCACAUAUUUGUACAUGGCUAUCAUGUCUCCUCUCAGCCUUCUCUUCUGCAGGCUAAACAUGCCCAGCUCUUUAAGCCGCUCCUCAUAGGGCUUGUUCUCCAGACCUUUGAUCAUUUUAGUUGCCCUCCUCUGGACACAUUCCAGCUUGUCAACAUCUCCCUUCAAUUGUGGUGCCCAGAACUGGACACAGUAUUCCAGGUGUGGUCUGACCAAGGCAGAAUAGAGGGGGAGCAUGACUUCCCUGGAUCUAGAUGCUAUACCCCUAUUGAUGCAGGCCAAAAUCCCAUUGGCUUUUUUAGCUGCCGCAUCACAUUGUUGGCUCAUGCUUAACUUGUUGUCCAUGAGGACUCCAGGACAACUCCAAAGUCUUUUUAACACAUUCUGCUGUUGAGCCAGGCAUCGGCAUGUUGGGUUGCUGUGAAACAUUCCUCCAGCAGAGAACUCAGAGAAUUAUGUGAUAGGUUCAACUCAGGGUCACUAUAAAUCAGAAGCUGCUAGAAGGCACAUAAAAACAAAAAAAAACUGAACAAAGGAAAGGGGAGCAAUGGAAUGAGAUGAAUCUUGCCCUUCCAGGUAUGCUCAGGCAAAAGCAAACUGCUGCACCCUCUCCUAAGUUAUGUGAUAUUCCUUAUUAACUUUUGUCACACUUCAGUAUUAUUGGGGAAUUACAGAUCCACACGUAGAUAAAAACACAGAUAAACUUAUAUUUUAUUUUACAACUGCGGCUAGAAUUAUAUUGGCACAGAGAUGGAAAAUUGAGGAAACUCCCAAUACGGAACAAUGGAUCUCUAAAAUAUUGGACAUUGUGAACAUGGACACCCUUACACAAAAAAUGGCCCAGGAUAGAUUAUCAAUUAAUAGAACGGAUUGGAAACCACUGAUAGAUUAUUUACGAAAAGAAAAAAAUAAAUAUGUAUAUAAAGUUGGAUUAUUGAGAACCCCAGGGCAAUUCUAAAAGGCAAAUGUAUAUUUAUCUAUACAACUAUAAAGGUAAAAGUAAAGAUUUCCCCUGACGUUAAGUCCAGUCAUGUCUGACGCUGGGGGUCGGUGCUCAUCUCCAUUUCUAAGCCGAAGAUCCGGCGUUGUCUGUAGACACCUCCAAGGUCAUGUGGUCGGCAUGACUGCAUGGAGCGAAAGGAGAACGUAUAAAGGAGAGGGGGGAAAACCACGGUAUGGACUCUGGAAGUAGUAGGAAAAUUAUAGCAAUUGUGUUUAUAGUUUUUUUUUUAAAUUAACCAUUCUCUCUCUCUCUCUCUCUCUCUCUCUCUCUCCCUUUCCCCCCUUUUUUCUCCUCCUGCUCCUUCCCCUCCCCUCGUAUUCCCCGCCCGACCCACCCUCUCCCCCCUUCCCUAACCAUCCUUAGCAGUCAAUUUGGUCUUUAUUGUAUCAAGAAAAAUGAUAUAUAUAUGUUAAAGAAAAUGUAACACUGUUGCUUACAAAUCUUGCAAUAAAAAUCAUUUUUAAAAAUAU